rnacentral:ribozyme from 1 species
ACAUACAGGAAGAUCAACAAACCGAAACGGUGAAAAAAAUGAUGACAAAAUUGUUUCCUCUUUUUAAUUAAAAUUAUUAUGAUUUUUCUUCCCCC